AACGAACGCUGGCGGCAUGCCUAACACAUGCAAGUCGAACGAGACCUUCGGGUCUAGUGGCGCACGGGUGCGUAACGCGUGGGAACCUGCCCUUAGGUUCGGAAUAACUCCCCUAAAGGGGUGCUAAUACCGGAUAAUUUCUUCGAACCAAAGAUUUAUCGCCUUUGGGUGGGCCCGCGUUGGCUUAGCUAGUUGGUAGGGUAAAAGCCUACCAGGGCUACGAUCCAUAGCUGGUCUGAGAGGAUGAUCAGCCACACUGGGACUGAGACACGGCCCAGACUCCUACGGGAGGCAGCAGUGGGGAAUAUUGGAAAAUGGGCGAAAGCCUGAUCCAGCAAUGCCGCGUGAGUGAUGAAGGCCUUAGGGUUGUAAAGCACUUUUACCCGGGAUGAUAAUGACAGUACCGGGAGAAUAAGCACCGGCUAACUCCGUG
rnacentral:rRNA from 1 species